AGAUUAUUGUUAUUGAUAUGUGCUGCUGAAAUUUUAUUUGGUCUUGCUUUCAACAAGCAAAUGCGCUAAACAAAGCAGUUGCCGUGUUUCACGGGCUAGAGAAAUUGCAGAAGAAUAUGCAAAACAACAGCAAAGAUUAUAUGGCUGCCACACCAUCCUGGGCCGUCUAUGAAGCUGAGGAAGGAGGAUUUGAUCCAGCACAAUUGAGAUAUAGCAAAGAGAGACGCCAACGUGUACCUAUGAAUUCUUGAAUCGUCUAUAUCUUACUUAAUGUUUCCGGUUAGUCUGUUUGCUGGCGUCCCUUUAAAUUAAAUAGUGGACUAUUACAAAGUGCUAUAUGAUUGUAUUGAUGCUCAUAUUUAGGACUCAAAUUUCACUGAUGAAGCUAAUAUUAAUGUUGGCAUUUUUGUCUGAUCAAUGAAAUUGCAGAAAAAACCAGCGAAAGGGUUACUUGUCCUAUUGACGAGGGCACAUUUUUUAGUGUUGAUCUGUAUCUUCUUGAAUCAAUAGAGCUUAAGAAGAGGACGAAGCAUAUUUUGGAAAUUAUUGAAGAGGUGAAAUGGAUAGAUGUUGACCUUGACUUGCUAACAAGGCUUCACUUUGUCUUCGCUCUUUCUAUUCACGUGUCCCGGGGUUAUUAUGUUAUGUCUCGCUGCAGCCUACAUCUAAGUAUAUGAUCCAGACCGGUUAUUAUCUCUGCAUCUUAUCAGACGGUAUAACUUCAUCUGUACAAGCUACUGAACCGGAUGAAUUUCCUCUAUCGAGUCAGGUUGAAGACGGGUCUCAACACUUACAGACUGAUGAUAGUGAGAUUAGCAUUAAGUUGCUGUCAUUAUCAGAAAGGUUUGUUGACUUCUAGGCUAAUAAAGAAGCGAAACUAGAAGAAUGGCUUGAAGGAACCACCAACCAUGAUGAUUCUUGCAACGCCGAUGACGAAAAAGAAGUUGAGAAGCUUCUUGAGAAUGGCGAGAAGACCAAAGUUGGAGACAGUGACUUCUAAAGUGAAGUACUAUAAUGCAUGCAGUUCUGUCAGGGACCUUCAAGAUAAGAGUGGUUGUAGCAUAACAUGUUAUAUAUAAUUAUAGUCCUUAGAUAUCACAUUUUCUCCAAGGAAAUGCCUUUGAUAUGUUUGCAUUUACUUUAUGUUAUCCCUUUAAUGCAUCCAAUUCCUAUCAAAAUCGAAAUAAUCUGAGAACUAGAACUAAGACUGUGCUAACAUGUUCUCCCUCUGGCUCAAAUAUAAGCAAAAAUUAAUCAUAUGUUCUAACAUGUUCUCCCUCUCGACUAGAACUAGAAAUUGUUUAUAUUUGACUCCGGAGGUAGUAUUCUACAUUGCAACUUCAUCGAAAAAUUGCAUAUGGGUCCCUGAUUAGUGAACUCGUGAUAUACUAUAACUGAUAUAUGUGUAAAUUGGUUCUCCAGUUGGAGAUUACUGGAUUAGUAUUAAAUUCUCAAGAAGGCUUUCUUUCAUGAAGAGCAUAUCUAAAUCAUUGUUUAAAAUUAUUGGCAUGUUUUGUUCUCAUAUUCUUGCAACGAUGAGUCUCUCAGUUUUUCGGUGUUUUUAUGGUAGUCCUAUGCCUAAAUUUAUUAUGACACAUGGUUGGAUUAUUGUCUUGAGCAUGCCAUGUACUCAAAGCAAUUCAAUGCACAGAUUCUGUUCUUUUCCAUGAGCAUCCAGAGUUGCUGGAUUCUAUCGUUUGAGUGUAUUUCCAUUCUAGCUCAAAAAUAUACAACAAAAUUGAAUGUUGGGGGCCUUUACGGGAUGCAAUUGAGGUAUGUCAAGAGGGCAGGUGAUGAGUCAUCUGUGAUCUGUUAGCGGCUUGAUUCAGUGUUGAGUGCGCGACUGCUCGGUACCGAUGGCCUGAAGUUGUGGCUUGUGUGACUGUUGAACCUUUUGUUUGUUGUCGCCAAGUUGGUAUGAAGUUUAUUCUUUUGCUUGAACUAUCGUGACGAGAUAAAACUUGUAUCACGAUACCUUUUGAAUCGGGGUAUGGUUAUACGGUGUUGUGAUAUGUGUAUGUUCAAGUUUAAAUAGCCAUCAGCAUUUACAACAUUGUUAGGAAAUUUAAAGAAAUAUUGCGGUUUACUAUUCCGAUCCUGAUUAUGCAGACAAAGGAGGGCGUGGUCCGACACUCCCGGAUCCAUGAUUUCCAACACCGUGUCAAUAUUAUCUUGAUGCCAAGAAUAGUUAGUCUAAACUGUUAAAUGUUAGUAUUGAAACUGUUGAUGGGAUUUGGGGUUGAAUGUUAGUUUGAUUAGUGAAAUGUCUUAGUUUGCAAAAGAUGGUGUCAUGGUACUGAAACUGUUAGUGGGUUGAUUGCACUAGUUACAAUCCUUUAGAUCAUAUUUUAUGCCAAACUGUCUUUUACAUUUUUAUUCUUUUCAUGCUUUUCAUGCUUUUCAGCCAUUGGAUUUGGAGCUGGAUGGAACCUGAAGAGAAAAAAUAGGAGAGGAUCCAUUUUCCGCUUUAAUUGGCUUAAGUGUUUGUUUUGCAGCCUUUUAGUUUACAAGUUCAUGAAGAACAGUUCAUUAGAUAAAUGGAUAUGCCAUUCGAUUCGAGGGCGAGAUAGAUUGCUCGGUAGGAUAAGAUUGCUCUCACUCCUUAUUGAGCAUUAAUGACACGCGGGAUUAAAAUAGAACAGUGGUGGUAAUGGAUGGAAAUAUAGUGAAGGGCUUGGGCUUUGAAGUCUAUGAUCGGCUUUGGCGGUGUUUGCGUGAUUCGAGGUGCUGCUUCAAAAGGAUUACUACUUAUGGCUAAGCAUGGUAUUGGGAUAUUCACAUCAGCAAUUGCACUUUUCACUGAUCUUGAUGUUCUUAUCAACCUUGUGUCAAUUGGAACACUCUUUGUUUUCUACAUGGUAGUAAAUGUUGUUGUUUACCGACGCUACGUGGAUGCAGGGACAACGAAUGUUUUGAUUACUUGUAUUUUAUUGAAAUAUCAUUUAUAUUUUUGUUUAUUUAUAUUGUUAGGCAGUAGACUUUGAUCCAAACUCUUUGCGAAGUGCGCUACCUAAAGCAGUUUCAUCUUUGGAAUGGGCGAUUUCUGAGGGAAAAGGAAUUAAGUUUAUGUGCAUUGUACUGCAGGACUUGGAAGAGCUCCAGCAGUAGCAAUAUCUUAUUUGUUCUGGUUUUGUGACAUGAAUAUGAGUUUAAAGCUUUCUUCAAGUGCUAAUUUUUUCACAAAUGAAUAUGGCCUUAUUUUUUUGGACAACUAAAUGAAGCAUGUGAUAUUCUAACUUCAAAGAUACCUUGCGGACCGAAUAAAAAAGCGACACGUCGAGCUACUUAUGAUCUGGCUAAGAAUGUUCCAUGGAAGGAGUCGUUUGAGAGUCUUCCUGACCAUGCUUUUGGGGAUAUAGCUGACUGGGAGAGGAACCUGAUUCAAAAUGGUGUCCGCGCUCUUCGUUAUUUGAUGUUGAGAUGGAGUGUUAUACUUUUGAUUGACAGGUUAAUG